rnacentral:rRNA from 1 species
GACGAACGCUGGCGGCGUGCUUAACACAUGCAAGUCGAACGGAAAGGCCCUGCUUUUGUGGGGUGCUCGAGUGGCGAACGGGUGAGUAACACGUGAGUAACCUGCCCUUGACUUUGGGAUAACUUCAGGAAACUGGGGCUAAUACCGGAUAGGAGCUCCUGCUGCAUGGUGGGGGUUGGAAAGUUUCGGCGGUUGGGGAUGGACUCGCGGCUUAUCAGCUUGUUGGUGGGGUAGUGGCUUACCAAGGCUUUGACGGGUAGCCGGCCUGAGAGGGUGAACGGCCACAUUGGGACUGAGAUACGGCCCAGACUCCUACGGGAGGCAGCAGUGGGGAAUAUUGCACAAUGGGCGGAAGCCUGAUGCAGCAACGCCGCGUGCGGGAUGACGGCCUUCGGGUUGUAAACCGCUUUCGCCUGUGACGAAGCGUGUGAGACUGUAAUGAGUAAAGAAGCAGCGGCUAACUACG